UUAUUUGAGAGUUUGAUCCUGGCUCAGGAUGAACGCUGGCGGCGUGCCUAACACAUGCAAGUUGAGCGAUUUACUUCGGUAAAGAGCGGCGGACGGGUGAGUAACGCGUGGGUAACCUACCCUGUACACACGGAUAACAUACCGAAGGGUAUGCUAAUACGGGAUAAUAUAUUUGAGAGGCAUCUCUUGAAUAUCAAAGGUGAGCCAGUACAGGAUGGACCCGCGUCUGAUUAGCUAGUUGGUAAGGUAACGGCUUACCAAGGCGACGA
rnacentral:rRNA from 1 species